UUGAAAAAUUAGCGGAUGACCUGUGGCUGGGGGUGAAAGGCCAAUCAAACCGGGAGAUAGCUGGUUCUCCCCGAAAGCUAUUUAGGUAGCGCCUCGUGAAUUCAUCUCCGGGGGUAGAGCACUGUUUCGGCUAGGGGGCCAUCCCGGCUUACCAACCCGAUGCAAACUGCGAAUACCGGAGAAUGUUAUCACGGGAGACACACGGCGGGUGCUAACGUCCGUCGUGAAGAGGGAAACAACCCAGACCGCCAGCUAAGGUCCCAAAGUCAUGGUUAAGUGGGAAACGAUGUGGGAAGGCCCAGACAGCCAGGAUGUUGGCUUAGAAGCAGCCAUCAUUUAAAGAAAGCGUAAUAGCUCACUGGUCGAGUCGGCCUGCGCGGAAGAUGUAACGGGGCUAAACCAUGCACCGAAGCUGCGGCAGCGA
rnacentral:rRNA from 1 species